rnacentral:rRNA from 1 species
UGGGGAAUAUUGCACAAUGGGCGCAAGCCUGAUGCAGCCAUGCCGCGUGUAUGAAGAAGGCCUUCGGGUUGUAAAGUACUUUCAGCGGGGAGGAAGGGAGUAAAGUUAAUACCUUUGCUCAUUGACGUUACCCGCAGAAGAAGCACCGGCUAACUCCGUGCCAGCAGCCGCGGUAAUACGGAGGGUGCAAGCGUUAAUCGGAAUUACUGGGCGUAAAGCGCACGCAGGCGGUUUGUUAAGUCAGAUGUGAAAUCCCCGGGCUCAACCUGGGAACUGCAUCUGAUACUGGCAAGCUUGAGUCUCGUAGAGGCGGGUAGAAUUCCAGGUGUAGCGGUGAAAUGCGUAGAGAUCUGGAGGAAUACCGGUGGCGAAGGCGGCCCCCUGGACGAAGACUGACGCUCAGGUGCGAAAGCGUGGGGAGCAAACAGG